CGUUCCCUUGCUGGAGAGAGAUGGCACCGCCCACGCGCGGCCCCCAUCCACCGAAGGAGCAAACCGCACGGCCAGCCAGGGCGCUGCGGUGAAUCUCUCAGGUAAAGCGGACAGCAGGGCAAAU
rnacentral:ncRNA from 2 species